AGGUGAAAUACUGUAUAGGACUGGCUUGCUAGCUAGUACCAGUGGCGAAGAACUUAACUAACCGUGAUAGGUGAAUCCCUGCUAGUUGCCAAGUGGCGCGGAGAGGCUCUACCAAUGAUUUGGCCCGUGGGGAAAUGUGGCCACCGAACGAUGUUGUGGGAUGUUGGAGUCUCGGUGACAGUAUAGAGAAAAAACUUUUGGCCGUGGCAUGUGACAUUCU